UACGUAGGGUGCGAGCGUUAAUCGGAAUUACUGGGCGUAAAGGGUGCGCAGGCGGUUGAGUAAGACAGAUGUGAAAUCCCCGAGCUUAACUCGGAAAUGGCAUAUGUGACUGCUCGACUAGAGUGUGUCAGAGGGAGGUGGAAUUCCACGUGUAGCAGUGAAAUGCGUAGAUAUGUGGAAGAACACCGAUGGCGAAGGCAGCCUCCUGGGACAUAACUGACGCUCAGGCACGAAAGCGUGGGGAGCAAACAGG
rnacentral:rRNA from 1 species